CUUUCUAGACUUAGGAAAGCAAAGGAGAAAACAGUAACACAGAGCAAUGUGGCCAUAUCAUCCUUAUGGCAUGUUCACUUUCGUUCUAAAAGGAAAAAGAGAAUAACAACCAAUAGUGAUGCCAGAGUCACUUCCAUUACCCAAGGAUAUGAGCGGCUUCAAAGCUGGAAAAUAAUAAGACUGAGGCCACUCAUUUGUACAUCUCCUUUCUUCUAUUCCCUUUCUCAUGUGACUCCUCAGAUAUUUUCCUUCCUUACCUCAUCACUUUGUCUUAGGUACCAACACUCAGAGGCUUUCUCAAACUGGAAAGCCAUGGACCAUUCUGGCCUGGAACUCAGUUGUUUAAAGAAAACAAACACAAUGAAAAGACCACUGACAUGUCAGCGUGCAUGGGCCACACUGCUAAAUGAAGAACUACAGGGAGAGUUCAGUUUUAGAAAAAGGCUCUGAGUGUACAGAGGGCCUGAGCAACACUUAUUAUUGAAGAAAUGGAUGGUAACAUAAAUGACAAAUCAUUUUGUAAAAUAAUGAAGCCUCUGAGUGAAAGACCCCCGAAGAGGUACUUUCGUAGAAGGAGACCCGCACCCAGGAAUCAGCGAGACCACGAACUUGGAUGCAAAACCGCAAGAGGCUUUAUUGGAGAUACGGGUACCUGGGCGACUUAGCUUCUGUGAGGCCAAGAGCGCCGAGCCAAGGGAAAGGGGUCCUUAUAUAGGGAAAAAGGCGCAAGCUAGAAGCAGGGAUUCUAUUGGAUAAUUCUAAUGAGGCAUUGUACAGAGCUAUUCCCAUUGGUCAAUGUAAAUGAGGCGCUAUACAGGGUUAUUCAAAUGAGGCGAAGUACAGAGUUAUUCAAAUGAGGUGAAACACAGAGUCUUUCAAAUGAGGCGAAAUACAGAAUCAUUUCUAUUGGAUGGUUCAAAUGAGACACAGAGCCAUUCCAGAUCAGCAUAUUCUCAAGGUCUGGUGUCUGGUACAACAGACUCAAUUCCCCCCCCUCCGCGUCCAGAUGGCUGACCUUGGGGGCGGAGACCUUGGGACGGAGUGUUUCUCAUCGGGCGGGGGCUCAGGGGCAGGGCUCCAGGCCGGCCCACCUGGUGCUCGUUCUCGGGCCGGCUCACC
rnacentral:lncRNA from 1 species